rnacentral:rRNA from 1 species
UACGUAGGGGGCAAGCGUUGUCCGGAAUCACUGGGCGUAAAGGGCGUGUAGGCGGGAAGGAAAGUCAGAUGUGAAAUCCCCAGGCUCAACCUGGGAACUGCAUUUGAAACUCCCUUUCUUGAGUACCGGAGAGGAAAGUGGAAUUCCUGGUGUAGAGGUGAGAUUCGUAGAUAUCAGGAGGAACACCAGUGGCGAAGGCGGCUUUCUGGACGGUAACUGACGCUGAGACGCGAAAGCGUGGGGAGCAAACAGG